rnacentral:rRNA from 1 species
AACGGAGUCGGCGCAAGCCGGCUUAGUGGCGGACGGCUGAGUAACGCGUAGGUGACUUGCCCAGAAGUGGGGAAUAACGAUUCGAAAGAAUCGCUAAUACCGCAUGUGGUUGUGCGUGUAGGCGCGUGCAACUAAAGCCCGCGAGGGCGCUUCUGGAGAGGCCUGCGUCCGAUUAGCUAGUUGGUAGGGUAAUGGCCUACCAAGGCGACGAUCGGUAGCUGAUCUGAGAGGAUGGUCAGCCAGACUGGGACUGAGACACGGCCCAGACUCCUACGGGAGGCAGCAGUUAGGAAUUUUGCACAAUGGGCGAAAGCCUGAUGCAGCAACGCCGCGUGGACGAUGAAGGCCUUCGGGUCGUAAAGUCCUUUUCAGAGGGAAGAAACGGACGGUACCUCUGGAAUAAGCCUCGGCUAACUACGUGCCAGCAGCCGCGGUAAUACGUAGGAGGCGAGCGUUAUCCGGAUUUACUGGGCGUAAAGAGCGCGUAGGCGGUCUCGUAAGUUGGGCGUGAAAGCCCCCGGCUUAACCGGGGAGGGUCGUUCAAUACUGCGAGACUGGAGGGUGGAAGAGGAGACUGGAAUU